rnacentral:rRNA from 1 species
ACGGCUCAGUAACACGUGGAUAACCUGCCCUUGGGUCCGGCAUAACCCCGGGAAACUGGGGAUAAUACCGGAUAACGCACAUAUGCUGGAAUGCUUUCUGCGUAAAACGGAUUCGUCUGCCCAAGGAUGGGUCUGCGGCCUAUCAGGUAGUAGUGGGUGUAACGUACCUACUAGCCGACAACGGGUACGGGUUGUGAGAGCAAGAGCCCGGAGAUGGAUUCUGAGACAUGAAUCCAGGCCCUACGGGGCGCAGCAGGCGCGAAAACUUUACAAUGCGGGAAACCGUGAUAAGGGGACACCGAGUGCCAGCAUCAUAUGCUGGCUGUCCGGAUGUGUAAAAUACAUCUGUUAGCAAGGGCCGGGCAAGACCGGUGCCAGCCGCCGCGGUAACACCGGCGGCCCGAGUGGUGAUCGUGAUUAUUGGGUCUAAAGGGUCCGUAGCCGGUUUGGUCAGUCCUCCGGGAAAUCUGACAGCUCAACUGUUAGGCUUUCGGGGGAUACUGCCAGACUUGGAACCGGGAGAGGUAAGAGGUACUACAGGGGUAGGAGUGAAAUCUUGUAAUCCCUGUGGGACCACCUGUGGCGAAGGCGUCUUACCAGAACGGGUUCGACGGUGAGGGACGAAAGCCAGGGGCGCGAACCGGAUUAGAUACCCGGGUAGUCCUGGCCGUAAACGAUGUGGACUUGGUGUUGGGAUGGCUUCGAGCUGCUCCAGUGCCGAAGGGAAGCUGUUAAGUCCAUCGCCUGGGAAGUACGGUCGCAGAUGA